GAAACGCGAUAGUUAAUGUGAAUUGCAGAAUUCAGUUAAUCAUCGAGUCUUUGAACGCACAUUGCGCCCAUAGGUAUUCCUUUGGGCAUGUCUGUUUGAGCGUCAUUACAACCCUCAGCUAACCGCUGGUUUUGAACCUGAACGGGUGACACCGCGCCGGUUUUAAAGUUGUAAGCUCUGCUGGCCGCUCUGCCCAACCAGAACAUAGUAAGCACUACUUGUCCGGGUGAAGCUGAACGGUACGGCCUGAACAAAACCUACCCACUCUCAAGGUUUGACCUCAGAUCAGACAAGGAUACCCGCUGAACUUAAGC
rnacentral:misc_RNA from 1 species